GCCAUACGGUUCAAACCACAGCACCGCGCCUCAGCCUCUCACUCGUCUCUCGCCGACUUCCACAACCGACCAGACUCAGUACACAUAUAUGUGAAACAAUUUUUGGUCGACGGAUUGAUUAUUGAUUUGCGUCACAGUAAUAUCAAUGGUCAGAAACAUAGGACGCGAGCCUGGAGGUGAUCGCUGAGUGAUACAUAAUAUCGUGAAAAGUCGAGGUCACAAUUGUCUUCUUCCUUAACUCCUUCGCCUUCUCUGCCGUGAAACAUCCUCGGAAUGACUUGUAGGAUCUGGAUUUUCCCGUUUCGUUCUCGAAUCCGUAAGAACUGGUAAUGUAAUCGGGUUCCGAAGACCACCCGAAUAUCGGCGUCCACCAGUCGUUCGAAUUGGUACCCACCGCCGACUUACGAUACGGGUUGGGUUCCUGGAGUUCACAAUUUAUAGAAAUUCAUAUAUGCGUGUGUUUACAUACAUAUUCAUAUAUAUGGAUAUAAGGAGAUUCAAAUACCUUAACACCAACGUGGUAUUGUUACAACCCAUCAAACGACCAUUUACAAUCUCUUCCUCCACUGCCCCACAAAACCCGGAGCUUGAAAACCAGAUGUCUUCAAAAAUAAAGGUGGAAGAAGACUGCGCCCCAGUAAAACCCGGGGGAGUGCCAACACAGGCAGCAUUUGAUCAGAUAUUUCUCAACAAGAAGAAGUGGGUAUCCUCCAUUCUCUCAAGCCCACAUCUAAAUACAUCUAAAUGGAAACAUUUACUAACCCAAUUAACUUCUCAUCAGUUUGAUACCAUUUUCUUGGAAAUUUAUCAUUUGAUUGACCCUACAAUUGCAUUGAAGUUCUUUUACUUUGCUAGCACUUCUGCUGGCUUUAAAUUCAUUCUCAGAUCUUAUUGCCUUUUGAUUCACCUGUUAGUGAGUAAGAAUCUUGAUUGUGCAGCACGAUUGCUAUUGAUAAGAUUGAUUGACAAAAAGCUCCCUGUGAUUUUAAAUGAUAAUAUUGUUGGGAAUAUGCAUAAAGAGAUUACAGUUUUAUUAGCAAAUUUGUAUUCAGGAUCGAAAAAAUUCGACGCGAGUAUUAGGACAUUGGAUAUUUUGGUUCAUGUUUAUGCUAGUCAAUUCAAGAGUUUGGGAUUUGAUGUUGCAGUGGAUGUGUUUCGUCUUUUAGCGAGCAGAGGGUUGUUUCCAUCCUUUAAGACUUCUAAUUUUUUGCUUAGCUCGCUCAUCAAGGCGGAUGAGCUCGAGAAGUGCUAUGAGGUCUUUAAUAUUAUUUCUUCGGCCAUUUUGCCAGAUGUCUACUUGUUUAGUACAGCGAUAAAUGCGUUAUGCAAAGGAGGUAGGGUCAAUGAUGCAGUUAUGUUGUUUAAGAAAAUGGAAGGUGUGGGUAUAACUCCAAAUGUUGUUACUUAUAAUAACCUUCUGCAUGGGUUGUGCAAAAAAGGGAAUUUGGAAGAGGCUUUUCAGCUCAAGGAGAAAAUGGUAAAUAAUGGUGUGAACCCAAGCCUUGUAACAUAUGGCGUGCUUAUUAAUGGUUUGAUGAAACUCAAGAAAUAUGAUGAAGCCAAUUUGAUUCUAAAAGAAAUGUUGGUCAAGGGGCAUGUUCCAAAUGAAAUUGUUUUUAACACGUUGAUUGAUGGGUAUUGCAGGAUUGGAAAUGUUACAACAGCGUUGAAGUUAAAGGAUGAUAUGUUAUCCCAGGGCAUUAGUCCAAAUUCAGUUACUUUUAAUACACUUCUUAACGGUCUCUGCAUGGAUAAUCAAAUUGAUCUAGCAGAACAGUUCUUAGUUGAAAUGGUAUUGAAAGGCUUAAGUAUAAACCCUGGUACAUUUGGUUCUGUUAUUCAUGGUCUGUGUAAGAAUUCAAGAUUAGACUCCGCAUUGCAUUUCACUAGGUUAAUGGUAUCUAGGAAUUUGAGGCCAAAUGAUAGGUUGCUAACAACAUUAAUUCAUAGGCUUUGCAAGAAUAGUAAGCAUUCAGAAGCUCUGAAGCUAUGGUAUAUGCUACUAGAUUUAGGGAUUGCAGCCAAUACAGUGACCUCAAAUGCACUUAUAUUUGGACUCUGUGAGGUGGGCAACAUACAGGAAGCUAAAAUACUACUUAAAAAUAUGUUGAAAAGGGGUGUUGGAUUGGAUGUGGUUACUUAUAAUGCACUCAUUUAUGGAUGCUGCAAAGAGGGUAAAUUGGAGAGUGGCUUUAAUCUCAAGGAAGAUAUGGUUAAACAAGGAAUUUCUCCUGAUAUUGUUACGUACACUUUGUUGAUGCAUGGGCUGUGUAGUAAAUGUAAACUGGAUGAAGCUGUUGCACUUUGGCAUGAAUGCCAAAGAAAUGGUCUUAUUCCCAACGUUCACUUGUAUGGAGUCAUGAUAGAUGGUUUCUGCAAUGCUAAGAAAGUUGAGGAGGCUACAAGAUUCUUCAACAUGUUGCUUGGACAUAACAUGGAACCAAAUUCUGUUGUAUAUAAUAUACUUAUUAAGGCGCACUCUAGAAAUGGAAACAUGAUAGAGGCCCUUAAACUUCGUGAUGAAAUGAGAAGCAAAGGCAUUUCACCUUCAUGUUCCACCUAUUCUUCUUUAAUACAUGGAAUGAGCAUUUCGGGGCAUGUUGAUGGGUCAAAACAUCUUAUGGAUGAAAUGAAAAAUGAGGGCUUGCAACCUGACAUUUUCUGUUAUACUGCACUUAUAGGUGGUUUCUGUAGGCUAGGUCAGAUGGAUGAAGUAAAGAGUGUCUUGCAAGAAAUGUUGUCAUGCAAUGUACAACCAAAUAAGAUAACAUACACAGUCAUUAUUGAUGGCUAUUGCAAGUUGGGUCGUAUUAAAGAAGCUUCUGAGCUUCUGAGUGAAAUGAUUGGCAAAGGAAUUGAUCCAGAUUCAGUUACUUAUAAUACAUUGACAAACGGGUUUUGCAAGGAAGGGAAAGUAGAAGAAGCUUUUAACUUGUGGGAUUAUAUCUCCUACAGAGGACUAAAGUUAGAUGAAGUUGCACACACCUCGUUGGUUCACUGCUUGCCACCGGCAUCAGGAAAUGCUGAUCAAAAUUGAAUGGGAACUCCAACACGCUUUAUGUGCAGGUCAUUUGUUGGGUUUUUAGGGAAUACAGUACUGCAAGUGGGAAGUAUUCUGCCUCAUAUAUCAGUGGGAAAUUGUCUGAUGUGGCAGAGGCACAUUCAACUGACGACAUUGUCAAAGAAUACGCUGUCACAGCCCUUGAGAAAAUAUAUUCUUUUGAAAUAGCAGUUGGGAGAAAAGUGAACAUGCUUCCUGAGAUAGAACUUUCUGCAUGAUGAUAUUUUUUGCUUGCUGCAGUGUGAAUCCUUGAUUGAAGAAUUAUUAGCAUCCAAUUCAAUAGAUCUGCAGUAGUGUGCUUAUGAACUUCAAGCAAUUAAUGGUUUAGAUGCUCAUUCUGUUGCAAAUAUAAUGCCAAUUGAUGCAAGUUGUGAAGACAUUGAGGAUUGUGAUAAGAUUCAAAUAUGCAAAAAUUGAAGAACAGAUAAAUGAAAGAAUCGCUGAUUAAAAAUAACAGGUUUCGGAAAAGGCAGAUACUCAAGCCUGCAGAUGGCUGGGAUCUCAAAAAAUUGACAAAAGCCUUUCAUUUCUCGAUGGAUAUAUUCAAUUAGCUAUAGAAAGGGGGGCUCAACCAUAGGUUUCUGCGAGUGAACGUUCGGGAGUGCCAAAUAUUAGCAACUUCAAAAGCCAGGAACAACGUGAAUCCUUAACGCACUCUCUUAGGUUUGAGGCUUAUGAACUUCCUAAACCCUCCAUGACCCCUCAAGGUCAUCAGAACUCAAGCUACGACUUUAUGGGGUUCAAAAGAAGUGGGGCAAACCUUCUUAUUCUUCACCCGUGUCGUCUACUUCGAUCAAUGAUACCACUAAGAUAAAGAAUGGGACAACCCAACGCAAUUCAGUUGGAAGUGCAAACUCAAAAGCAUGUGAUGCCUUUUAUGAUUCAAGAAAGCAGCUAGUAGAGAUAUCUCUUGAGAAGCAUAAACUGGCUGCUUCACAUUUUGGUGGUGCAUCAAAAUCUGAUAGAAUACAAUCUUCUCCAAGCCAGAAGGUUACUAAGAAUAACAGCCAUGCUGUAGAUAAGUCUCAUGCGGAAAAGACAGCAACGUCUGAUACUUUCUAUAAAAACUUCCCAGCCACCUCCCGACUUGCUCGACUUAGGUGAACCAACUGGUACAAGUAUUCCGCCAUCUCUAGAUCCUUUUAAGCAACUGGAAGGUCUUCUCAAUCCACAAAGAUGAUGUUGGGAAUGACAAUGAUUACAAUGUCCCUUCUGAUGGCAUUAAUGAAUUGAGCAAGAUAGGAAGUGAAGUUGGUUCUCCUGUGGAUAUGGCCAAAUCGUACAUGAAGGUCCGUCCACCUUGGGCCUCUCCUACAAAACAAAUUGAAGUAAGAACCCCAUCAACGAUGAUGAUGGAGCCUUUCAAGGAAGGAACUCGAGAUUCAGUUGGCAGUGAUUCUCUGUCUUUGUUGAAGACCUAAUGGAUGUGGCAGAAACGGAAUUCUCUUGCCUCUGGAUCAUGGAAUAUCCAGGAAGAAUUAAGAAGAGUGCAUUCAAAGGCAACAGACGAUAUGCUACGCUCUCUAUCCUCUAGAAUUGAUCUGUCACUUGCAACUAAAAAUAGUCUGGGGUACUUGGGAACUGAUAUACCAGCAGCUGGUAUGCUGGAGUAAAAGAAUGAGCUGAAUUCUUCCACGUUAACCAAAUCAAUAGAUGCACCUCCAAACCCGGAUGCAGGAGUGAGAUCUAAUCCUGACCUAUCAUGUUGUUCUAUUUUCUUGGGUGAAUGAUCAACUUGUCUUAUGUGCUUUGUACUUGAGGCAAGAUGGUCGAGUAAAUGACAUGUUGCCAUCCAAGCCAACUACCUUUGUAACUGGAAACAAUGAGGUAACUGGGAUUCAGAAGCUAUUUUGAAUGACAAUGAAUGCAAUGCCUCCAAGCCGCCUCACCUUACCGC